rnacentral:rRNA from 1 species
GACGAACGCUGGCGGCGCGCCUAACACAUGCAAGUCGAACGGAGCUUACAGACGGAAGUUUUCGGAUGGAAGGCUGUAAGCUUAGUGGCGGACGGGUGAGUAACACGUGAGCAACCUGCCUAUCAGAGGGGGAUAACGAUUGGAAACGAUCGCUAAUACCGCAUGACAUAGCGGAAUCGCAUGGUUCUGUUAUCAAAGAUUUUAUCGCUGAUAGAUGGGCUCGCGUCCGAUUGGAUAGUUGGUGGGGUAAUGGCCUACCAAGUCGACGAUCGGUAGCCGGAAUGGGAGGUCGGACGGCCACAUUGGGACUGAGACACGGCCCAGACUCCUACGGGAGGCAGCAGUGGGGGAUAUUGCACAAUGGGGGAAACCCUGAUGCAGCGACGCCGCGUGAGGGAAGACGGUCCUCUGGAUUGUAAACCUCUGUCUUCGGGGACGAGACGAGACGGUACCCGAGGAGGAAGCCACGGCUAACUACGUGCCAGCCGCCGCAGUAA